rnacentral:rRNA from 1 species
UACAGGGGGGGCAAGCGUUGUUCGGAAUUACUGGGCGUAAAGGGCCAGUAGGCGGCCAACUAAGUCCGACGUGAAAUCCCAAAGCUUAACUUUGGAACUGCGUCGGAUACUGGAUGGCUUGAAUUCGGGAGAGGGAUGCAGAAUUCCAGGUGUAGCGGUGAGAUGCGUAGAUAUCUGGAGGAACACCGGUGGCGAAGGCGGCAUCCUGGACCGGUAUUGACGCUGAGGCGCGAAAGCUAGGGGAGCAAACGGG